AACUGUAUUUUUCUGUUUUGCAGUGUAUUCAAGCCAAAACUCUCUGUGUUUAAUAGAGGGAGAUGUAUGAAAGUCACUUUCCUAGUCACAGGGAUCAAGAGAAAACAAAUAACUACAUACUGAGCAUAGGGAGGACAUUUAGACACUUCUCAGGAGACUUGGGUUCACCUUCUAGUAUGACCUUGGUCCAUGUGAGGUAUAGAGUCUGCCUCCCUCCUCCUUAUUUUUGACAAAAGGCUAAAAACAGGAAACUGUGUGUCUGAAUUCCUGUGAAGCAGAGCCAGGAGUGAUAAAAUUUACCUGAACUACAUUGGCUCCAUACAGAAAUAGGAGCACUCAAAGCCUUGCAAAUCUACCCCAGUGGUUCCAUGUGGAAGCAGCUCUGCAGAACACAAACUAGAGUACAGAACACAAGGACAGGCCAGCCAGGGUUAGACCUUGGAGUACAUCAAAACAGGGGUCCAUGGAGUGAAAAUGGAGCACCACACUUGAGGUCACAUAUCUCCUCUGGGAAACUGCAGAAUCAUCUCCAGCUGAAGUGCUGCUGGACCAAAACAGAGUCAGGGGAAGAGAGAAAGAUUUUAUCCUGCAGCGUAUAGCAAAACACCUGUCUUUUUUGGGGUUAAGAGAAAGCCUGGUGUCUCUAACACUCCUUCCUUGCCUCAUGAAAUAAAGAGUUGGCAAAAGAGGUCUGUGUUUCAUCUUCACGUGUAUGUGAAUUAAGCCAUACUGCUUUAUGCAAUGUGCAUCUCUCCAUAAUGCUUGAAUUUUACACAAAUGCACAGGUUUGGGGUCUUUUUUCUUUUCUCUGUAGCGUGAGUAGACAUUGUGUGACAGCAGCAGGCCAGUAGAUUUAAGUACACUUGGAGAUGCAUAAUUUUUACUGCAUGGAAAUGCUCAGUGUACCAGCUGGAGAAAAGGCAUAACCAAUCUUGGAGAUAUUGCAGUACAAAUAGAUAAUAUUUUUAAGUGUUUUCAAAAAGCUGAAUUCCUAAACUAGGGCAUAACUGUCAUCUUCAUCUCAAGUUGUUUAAA